UUUGGAACAAAAAUUUAUAACAUUUUCAAUACUUAUCUACAACCUUUGUGCAAGCAAACAUUUCAAACUGAGGAACACUAGCCGAAAUAGGCCCAUAUGCAUUGAAAGCAAAAGCAAUAACAUCACUUAAAAUACACAUGUACUUACUUUCGUCACAAAGUUCAAGGAGAAAACGGAAUAUUUUGCAUAAAUAAGUCAGUAAUGCUAAUUAAAGGCGCUGGUUGUAACUGGUUUCUCUUUAUCCACAACUUGAAUCAAACUAAAACAAAAGCAUUAUAGGACUGCGAGAAUGUGAAGAAAAUCUUUUGACAAAAUGUAAUGUAAGUACCUACUUCUGCCCGAUGGCAAGUACCAAUAAUGAGUUGUUUACCGAAAAAGUGACACCGACCGUCUUUAUCGCAAAUCUAUGUACACAAACAAGUAAAUUGAAGUCAUCGCACUCGCACAAGUGGCUGCAGAUAUCUACUGUGAGCUCUCUUACAGAUUGUAAGUGGAUAAAAAUUAUACAGAGUGAUCACCAAUCAGUACUCGAACCAUUCGAGUGGGAUUGAAAUCGACUGACGCCAAAUGAGAGGUGGACGCCCAAAUGGACCGAAAAACCCCAGCACAAGAGAAGUACGGGGCCUGAUAAAAUCGGUCUCAGUUAUCAACAGAAUAACGACUAAGAGAACGGCAACAAAUCAGAAACUUGAUUUUAUUUAGGUAUUGGGGGUGGCAGUGGUGUUUAGGGGUACUAACUUCCGGGGAUAUUUUUUCAAUACAACGUUUCGUUUCGGAGAAGAAAUCACCAAUUUUAUUUUUAGCGCCUUUUCUAAGAAUUAAAAAAAAAGUGCCA